CUUACUCUGCCUGCGAUAUAUAUUUUUUUAUCCCGUGUUUAUUUUCUUCAGUAAAGUUGUGAACUUAAACCAAACCUCUGCAUUGGCAAAAUAAGCACAUUUAUGCACCGUUUCUUCAUUGGUGGCUGGGCACCGCGGCUGCAUCCUCUUCUUCGUGGCAUGGCACAGUAAUUGCAGGUUCAUCAGUCAGGUGGUCAGCACCCAAACUAAAACCAUGAGUCAUGGUGGCCAGGAUGACGUCCAAGAAAAGCAUCCCAGCAGCACAGAUGGGGGAGCCAACAUGAAGAGGUGUCCAGAGAGGCUUCUUCCUCUUUGGCUUUGCAGCAGCACCAGGACCUCACCAUCAGUGAUGCUGUUCCCCUCAUCCAUCGGGCCUACCCUUACAUUCCUCCCCUGAUGCACUGAUCACCUGUACCAGUUGUUGGAGUUUUCAGAAGGGCUCUAAAUUAACUUUUUUUAUUCACUAGUAGCCAAAAUGGCUAGUAUGUUAAUCUCCAAACAUACCGGUACAUUAAAUAAUGGGUCAAAGUGCCAAGUAUGUUUUCUUUUCUACCAGCAAAACUUAAUUUUCCCAGCAUUUGGCUGGUUGGCUGGUGAGCCCUGGUUGUCAUUGAUGGUGAGUAGCUGUGAUAAUAAAUAACUGAAAUGAUGAAGUCCA